AAGAAAUAUGAGAAACCCCUUUUGAUUUUUUUUUAUCCGUGGACACUUCCGGACUGAAGGAAUCACCUCCUGCUGGUUUACGAUGCCGACGCUGUUCAUCAAGACCCGUCGUGAGCGACUCAAACGUGGGCUACUUCUCCCCAUUUUUCACCUUCAGCUGCAGCAUGUGUGUUUGUGCGAGUGAGGCCUCAAUCCAUAAUUCAACAUGUGGUCCAGGUACUUUACGCUCUCCUGGCUCUCCUGGCUCUCCUG